rnacentral:rRNA from 1 species
AAUAUAUACAAUGAAGAGUUUGAUCCUGGCUCAGGAUGAACGCUAGCGGCAGGCUUAACACAUGCAAGUCGAGGGGCAGCGGUAUGUAGCAAUACA